rnacentral:rRNA from 1 species
UACGUAGGGUGCAAGCGUUGUCCGGAAUUAUUGGGCGUAAAGAGCUCGUAGGCGGUCUGUCGCGUCGGCUGUGAAAACUCGGGGCUCAACUCCGAGCUUGCAGUCGAUACGGGCAGGCUAGAGUUCGGCAGGGGAGACUGGAAUUCCUGGUGUAGCGGUGGAAUGCGCAGAUAUCAGGAGGAACACCGGUGGCGAAGGCGGGUCUCUGGGCCGUUACUGACGCUGAGGAGCGAAAGCGUGGGGAGCGAACAGG